rnacentral:ncRNA from 3 species
CAUUGUGAAGCAGAAUUCACC